UACGCGGGGAGCAAGCGUUGUUCGGAUUUACUGGGCGUAAAGGGCGCGUAGGCGGCCACGACAAGUCACUUGUGAAAUCUCCGGGCUUAACUCGGAACGGUCAAGUGAUACUGUCGGGCUAGAGUACAGAAGGGGCAACUGGAAUUCUCGGUGUAGCGGUGAAAUGCGUAGAUAUCGAGAGGAACACCUGCGGCGAAGGCGGGUUGCUGGGCUGAUACUGACGCUGAUGCGCGAAAGCCAGGGGAGCGAACGGG
rnacentral:rRNA from 1 species